GACGAACGCUGGCGGCGUGCUUAACACAUGCAAGUCGAACGGAAAGGCCCUGCUUUUGUGGGGUGCUCGAGUGGCGAAAGGGUGAGUAACACGUGAGUAACCUGCCCUUGACUUUGGGAGAACUUCAGGAAACUGGGGCUAAUACCGGAUAGGAGCUCCUGCUGCAUGGUGGGGGUUGGAAAGUUUCGGCGGUUGGGGAUGGACUCGCGGCUUAUCAGCUUGUUGGUGGGGUAGUGGCUUACCAAGGCUUUGACGGGUAGCCGGCCUGAGAGGGUGACCGGCCACAUUGGGACUGAGAUACGGCGCAGACUCCUACGGGAGGCAGCAGUGGAGAAUAUUGCGCAGUGGGCGGAAGCCUGAUACAGCGACGCCGCGUGCGGGAUGACGGCCUUCGGGUGGUAAACCACUUUCGCCUGUGACGAAGCGUGAGUGACGGUAAUGGGUAAAGAAGCACCGGCUAACUACGUG
rnacentral:rRNA from 1 species